CGUCACUAGCUUCAUUAGCUUCGGUUUAUAAAUAGGUGCUCACAACGAGCAACUUUUCUCAACUGCAGCUAACCGCUCCGCUUACAAGUUAGUGCUCGCGGUGCACAGCCAUGGGAUCCGGCUGCCACGCCACGGACGAGGCGCCAAACGGUUCCAAGGCGGUGAACCUCCUAUUCCGCCUGUCGACGAUGGCGUUCGCUCUGACCUCGGCGGUGGUCAUGGCCACUGCCAGCGAGUGCACCAUCUACGAGCCCCACGGCGCCAGGGUCACGGUCACCUUCAAAAACUACCCACCCUUCGUUUACCUGGUAU